CAUUGAUGUGAUGAUAUCCUUGACGGAAUUAUAAAAUGUCGAAUAAAAAUUUCAGACUACAAUUAUCUGAUCGCUG
rfam:Populus trichocarpa isolate Nisqually-1 chromosome 14, whole genome shotgun sequence.